rnacentral:lncRNA from 1 species
UGCGAUCUAAAGAAUGCAUUAGACUUGUAUUCUUGGUUACAACUUUGAUUUCUCUUCGAGAAAAGACAAGAUUUUGUGGGCUAGAGGAUAAAUGAAUCAAUAUAGAACUUGGGUGGAAAUAACUAAAAAAAGAAGUGGAUGUUCCCAAACAUUGCUUCCUCGAGUCCAAGAUUUCAUGUGAAGACAGAGAGCAAUCAGCUCAAGGGGAAGAAAACAAUAUGCAUGGGGCAUUGCAUUUUAGUGUGCAACGUGAGU